UGUGAAAUGACUUGAGAG
rnacentral:snRNA from 1 species